AAUUCGAUGGCUCUUUUGUCUCUCUCCGUCCCAUGCCCUCACGGGCGGUGGGUCGGACGUCGGGCAGGCCUCGUGUUCCCGGCAUGCCUAGCCCAGUUGCGUGGCUGCCUCGGUGCAUGAGGCCCUUUGCCCGUGCUCUCGGAUUCGGAAUGUUAUGUGCUGCGGGUGGGUGGCUCAUCGGAGGCCCUCCAUCUGAUCAAGCAACGCAUUUUGUCCAACGAGACGAACGACCGCUGCACCCGUCUUUGGGCCUGCGGCCUCACGGCUCGGCACGGCUCAUG
rnacentral:misc_RNA from 1 species